rnacentral:rRNA from 1 species
AUUGAACGCUGGCGGCAUGCUUUACACAUGCAAGUCGAACGAGUGGCGCACGGGUGAGUAAUACAUCGGAACGUGUCCUAUCGUGGGGGAUAACUGAUCGAAAGAUCAGCUAAUACCGCAUACGAUUGGAGCGGCCGAUGCCCGAUUAGCUAGUUGGUGAGGUAAAGGCUCACCUAGGCGACGAUCCCUAGCUGGUCUGAGAGGAUGACCAGCCACACUGGAACUGAGACACGUUCCAGUGCCCUACGGGAGGCAGCAGUGGGGAAUAUGGGACAAUGGGCGCAAGCCUGAUGCAGCCAUGCCGCGUGGAUGAAGAAGGCCUUCGGGUUGUAAAGGACUUUCAGCGAGGAGGCGUUACUCGUAGAAGAAGCACCGGCUAACUCCGUGCCAGCAGCCGCGGUAAUAC